ensembl:lncRNA
CCUGGAACAUGGUAAGCAGUAAGUAAAUUUUAGCCAUUAGCUAGUUCUAUCCUGUUUUACAGAUGAAGGAAAUCCAGCCCAGAGAUGCCUAGUGACCUUCCCAAAGAGUUGAGACUGGAACUCAUGUCUCCUCAUUUCCAGAGCAAUUUGUUUUCAGUACAAGUUGUAGAAUGAUGGCAGACAAGCUCUAAAGGUCAAACAUUCUGGCAGGAGGCAUUUGCAAUGUACAGUCAAGUGAAUUAUCUCAGCCGAUGUGGAAUAGAGAGCAAGGCAGGAAGGAUGUGGAGUCUUUUCAAUGAACUAGAGAAAGGAAAGCACAUCUUCCCAUUUAGAAGUCCACGUUCCCACGGGCGGAAUAUUUUACAGAAUCUUUUUUCAAAAUGUCAUCUUAUUGGGGCUUUCCUGGUGGCUCAGUGGUAAAGAAUCUGCCAGCCAACUAAGAGGAUGUGGGUUUGAUCCCUGGUCCAGGAAGAUCCCAUGUGCCGAGGAGCAACUGAGCCCAUGCACCACAACUGCAGGGCCUGCGCUCUAGAGCACAGGAGCUGCAACUAUUGAGCCCAUGUGCUACAACUACUGAAGCCUAAGCACCAUAGAGCCCAUGCUCCACAGCAAGAGAAGCCACCUCAAUGAGAAGAAGCUUGUGCACUGCAACUAGAGGGGAGCCCCCACUUGCUGAAGCUAGAGAAAAGCCCUUGCAACAGUGAAGACCUUGCAC